rnacentral:ncRNA from 1 species
AAACGGGGAGCUUGUGUUACAGGCUGAGAACAGAAUACGAUUCUGGACCCUUUAACCUGAUUUGGAUAAUGCCAACGGAGGGAUAUAUAGU